ensembl:lncRNA
CUUGAAUUGAAAGUUCUGGUUAAAAAAUGGUAAUUAAAUGCACUCUUAAAAAUAAGGUGGACCCGCACAGCUCUUACCAGCUGACCAGUUACAUAAAAACAUUCAAGUCUUAGAACAUGGCUGAUAUCACGUUUCGAAGCACUCACAUGGCGCUGCGUUCCUCUGGAGCUCUGUUAGAGAUUCCAGCCGUUGUCCAGUUCUGGGAUCCACCAGAGUGGCGCGAGAAUUCUGGGUUCCCUUCCUCAUCUCAUAAGCUGGAGGAUUGUAGACUGUGGAGAGAAAAAAAAAAACCCCUAGUUAAAUAUGCCCAAAAGUCUACUAGGUGCAUUGAUAUUUAAAAAAAUGACUUUAGAGACAUACAGCCGGAAACUCUUCUGUUCAUUUCGCUAACUUCGUGCUUGAGCAUCCCAGUGUCCAUGUCCAUCAGGAAGCGUCUGGAAGGUUCUGUUCCUUGCCUCUUCUCAAUAGCUGCUGGAUUGUAGACUGUGGAGAAAAUAACACUCUAUUAAAGACUUACAGCCGGAAACUCUUCUGUUCAUUUCGCUGAGUUCCUCCUUGGGCAUACCAGUGUUUGUGUCAAUCAGGAUGCGUCUGGAAGGUUCUGUUCCUUGCCUCUUCUCAAUAGCUGCUGGAUUGUAGACUGUGGAGAAAAUAACACACUAUUAAAGACUUACAGCCAGAAACUCUUCUGUUCAUUUCGCUGAGUUCCUCCUUGGGCAUCCCAGUGUUCAAGUCAAUCAGGAUGCGUCUGGAAGGUUCUGUUCCCUGUCUGCGGAUCUCAACAGGAACUGCUUUGUGGUUCUCCUUAUGUUCAGAAGAGUCUUGGCUUCUUAUGUCCUCAUGCUCAGAAACCACUUCCCAUUUAGCUGCUAAUAAAGGUGAAAGAAAACAUUAGUCCAGACAGGUAAAGGAAAG